rnacentral:rRNA from 1 species
GUUGGAAGCUUAGUGGCGCACGGGUGCGUAACGCGUGGGAAUCYGCCCUUCGGUUCSGAACAACAGUUAGAAAUGACYGCUAAUACCGGAUGAUGACSUAAGUCCAAAGAUUUAUCGCCGAAGGAUGAGCCCGCGUAGGAUUAGCUUGUUGGUGAGGUAAAAGCYCMCCAAGGCGACGAUYCUUAGCUGGUCUGAGAGGAUGAUCAGCCACACUGGGACUGAGACACGGCCCAGACUCCUACGGGAGGCAGCAGUGGGGAAUAUUGGACAAUGGGCGAAAGCCUGAUCCAGCAAUGCCGCGUGAGUGAUGAAGGCCUUAGAGUUGUAAAGCUCUUUUACCCGGGAUGAUAAUGACAGUACCGGGAGAAUAAGCUCCGGCUAACUCCGUGCCAGCAGCCGCGGUAAUACGGAGGGAGCUAGYGUUGUUCGGAAUUACUGGGCGUAAAGAGUACGUAGGCGGUUAUUCAAGUCAGAGGUGAAAGCCCGGGGCUCAACCCCGGAACUGCCUUUGAAACUAGAUAGCUAGAAUCUUGGAGAGGUCAGUGGAAUUCCGAGUGUAGAGGUGAAAUUCGUAGAUAUUCGGAAGAACACCAGUGGCGAAGGCGACUGACUGGACAAGUAUUGACGCUGAGGUACGAAAGCGUGGGGAGCAAACAGGAUUAGAUACCCUGR